ACGGAUGCACGCUCCACCUCCGAUUCAAAGUGUUGCUAAUGGCUACUGUGGGUUGGGUUUAGGACUUUCUAUUGGGCUUUAUGCAGAAAUUAGCCCACACAUGGCUGUGAUCCUCCUUGAUUUCAUUUUUCAGGAAUUGUAACAAGGGUCUGAAUUGAACUGCUCUAGUGGAGACCAGAUAAUAAAACUUUAUUGCACGACUUGAAGAGGCCUUGGAUAGAGUGAUGCUCAUUGUUUUUAUAUUUGGGAAGACUCACUGUGGUAAAUAUUGUGGCUGCCCCCAGUAAUUUAUAGCUGUCAUACCACUGUAAUUAAAAUCUCAACAGAUUUUCUUAAGGACCUCGAAAAAUUGACUCUAAGAUGUAUAUGAUGGAGUAGAAGUGCAAGAAGACCCAAAACAAUUCUGAAUAAGUAAAACAGAAGUGUGCUGCAAAGGACCAGGAUAUAUAAAGCAUAUGUGGUAAUUAAAAGAGCACCCAAGAAUGCUGGUUUGAGACUGGACAGGCUGAGUGAGAACACCUAACGUCAUGCAAAAACACAUCCAUCUUCUCCCCAGAAUCUCAGAGAAGAAUCCAACCUGGACAAAUGGCAAAACUUCAAGACAAGGAAGCGUGAUCGGGAAAGCAUUGAAGACCCAGCUUGCUCUUGAUGCCUGGAUAUGCUGACUCUCCCAUGUUCUCAUCCCUUCUCAGCAUCUUUUUUCCCCAUGUCUACGUGUCUUCUUUUCAAACCUCCCACUGCUUCUACCGUACCUGCAUCUAGCAAGUCUCCUAGGGCUUACAGCCUUGAGGUUCUUCACAUCAGGGAAAGGAAAGCCAUGGAGGACUGGAGAUGAACAGAUGGUUGCUGGUGGCCUCUUCCUGGGUUCAUUCACUCAGUCAUUCAUUUAUCCAGUGGUUCAUUCGUUCAUUCAUUCAUUCAUCAAAUUGUUCUUAUGUGUCAGGCUUUGGGUUAAGCAAUGGGUAUGCAGCAAAGAACCAAAUAGACAUAAUUAUUUAAUAGAACUCAUGGAAUUUACUAUCUACAUUUAUUGAGGCCUGCUGACUAUCAAUACUAAUAAAAAGCAAAACUGA